ACCUGGUUAGCUCAGUUGGUAGAGCGCUCCACUGGAAAUGGAGAGGUCCCUGGUUCGAUACUAAGGCCAGGCA
rnacentral:tRNA from 2 species